rnacentral:lncRNA from 1 species
AAAAAUGUUUCCCUAUAAUAAUAGGGGGUUUAUAAAAUUUUUCCAAAUUAAUUAUACAAUAAGUGUCAAAUACGAAACAAUAAUAGUAACAAGAGAAUACUAAUCAAUUAAAGAGGAGAAUUCACAAUUACGAAGUUAUUAUUCGAGGCUCGAAAUUAGAUGCUUUGAGCCAACAAAUCUGAUCUCCACCGUUCAAAUACAAGACAAAGAUAUUACAAACCCUCAGUCAAAAUUUUAGCCCUAUCCAACUGUUAACUGAUCGAAAAAUGUGAUUUGAAGUUAAUGGGUCGGAAUAACAAUCUACAGCAAAACAAAUACUUUUCUUCUCUCUUCUCUCUUGACCAAAACUUCCUCAAAAAUCACUCUUAUGUGCUUAAGUCUUUCAAAGACUUGUAUCAAUGAACAUAGAAUAAUUCUUCAAUGUUGUCCUAUUUAUAUAUCAUGAGUGGUGCUUUCUCUUAAAGUCAAAAUCCACUCAAAAUAGGAAUAAACCGAAUUGAAUUCUAAAUAGAAAUGGAAACCAAAAGAGAAUAAAAUUAGGUCAUUGGGCUUUGACCGGACAAUAUAGGCAUGUGCUCAACAAUAGUUUGUUUAAACAACCUGGAAAAAUCAGUUUGUUUUAAGAAGUAUUUUUUUCAAAAGUAUUUUUGAUGAGUAACAAUGUGUGUUUGGCUAAUUAAUUUAAAAAAUAUAUACAAACAACAAUUAGUGUUUGGCCAAGUUUAAAAAGUGCUUCUAAAUGUAUUUUUCUCAAAAGUGUAUCGCAAAAAAAUACUUAUGGGAAGAAGUUCUUUUUUUUCUGGUUCUAUUCAAGAACACUUUUCUAUUAAAUAACUUGGACAAACACUUUAAUUUAAAAAAAAAUAUUGUUUUUGACCAAACAAACAAUUAGUUAUGAUAUGCUAUCGCAAGUACAAAAAUUUUAUUAAAAGGUAUGAGAGCAAAAUAAAAAAACUAUAACACGAAAGGAUUGGCAAAGAAAAAGGGAAAGCGAUAGGCACUUGGUGUUGAAUGUUGAUAGGUUAAUUAAAUAAAAACAAUUCCAGUUUCAGAAUUGAUUAAAUCCCAAAAGGUUUGAACUUGGACCAUACUAAAUAAGGAUCAUGAAAUAACACGAAAGGAUUAGAAAAGAAAAAGGUGCAUAUUGUCACCAAAUUAUUGAGGGAACAUAAUGUAACAGUGAGAAAAAAAAAACAUAAAAAGUGAAAUUCGUUGAGAAUAAAAAAGAGAAAUUAUUUUCUUAGUGGGCUGGUUAUUGGGUAAAAAUCCCCCCCAAAAAAAUGUGGGAUAAAAACUUUGCUUUAAGCAUUGAUCCUUGCAAUUACAGUUGGUGAUUGAGACUUCCAAGACUAAUAUAUUAUGCCAUUAAAAAAGGUGUAAUUUUGUGGCAUUGAAGUCAAAAGACAAAGCAGGUGUGUGUUUACAUAUGAAUUUCAAACAAAAGCAAAUAUAAAGUCAAAAGGGACGAGGAAUUGGUUUUUGUGAAGUUGUGCGUCACAACUACUAAUAAAUCAUCAAGUUGACAAAAAGAAUCUUGGCGUCACAACCUUAGGCAACAGCUGCACGUUUGAACAAAGAAAAACAAAAUUAAGUGUAUCAUUAGCAAUUCUAUUAAGGGAAAAAAAAUAUGCUCAGGAUGUAGUUCAUAUCAAAUCGAGCUAAUUUAUUAUAAUUAAGUGAUAAGUCAUAACGUGUAUUAUGUGUAUAUAAAGGCAGCUCUCCAGAUAAAACAUCACACAUUCACAUACAGUUUGAAAAAGAGCCUAAACCCAAAAACUGUGAUCGAUCAAAUGUAUAUCCAAGAUUUUAAGAGAGUAAAUACAUUAUUGUUAGGAAAUGAAUCUAAAACUUAUAUUUGACAGAUUUAACUUAGAGACUUAACCCAUUGUACACUUAAAAUUAUAGAUUCAAAAUUAUAUUCUUUUUAAAAUUUUAGUAGUUUAUAUAUAUAUAUAUAUAUGUGUGUGUGUGUUUUUCUUUUUUGCAAUUUUGUUUUGGUUUUUGGUUCUUUUUUUCUAUGUUUCUUUUCGUUUAGGUUUUGUCCUAAGAAAAAGACUAUUUAUACCUUAGGUUGAAUUUGCGUAAAUUAUGCAACAAAUUGCUACAUAUGGAAAACUUGCACUCACCCCUCGAAGACGACGACUUCUUGCUGUGUGGAACACUUGUGAAUUACCAAUAUGGGGAAGAGCUUCAAUAUGUAUCUUUUUCUU